UACGUAGGCAGCGAGCGUUGCUCGGAAUCACUGGGCGUAAAGGGCGCGUAGGCGGGUCUUUAAGUCAGGGGUGAAAUCCUGGAGCUCAACUCCAGAACUGCCUUUGAUACUGAAGAUCUUGAGUUCGGGAGAGGUGAGUGGAACUGCGAGUGUAGAGGUGAAAUUCGUAGAUAUUCGCAAGAACACCAGUGGCGAAGGCGGCUCACUGGCCCGAUACUGACGCUGAGGCACGAAAGCGUGGGGAGCAAACAGG
rnacentral:rRNA from 1 species